UCGCCGUUCCGCCCGACUUCAGUUUUGUGAACACGAGUGAACACGAGUCUCCCACCCACAGGAGCCCUGACGACACCCCCACACCCGGGGAGAGCCCCCAAAGCAGCCGGGGAUGCACCCUGGGCAUCAACUCACCAUCUCUCUCCUGCCUUCAUCUUUCUCCUGCAGCUUCAGGACAGAGAGACUGAGAGGGGAGGGAGAGACAGAGAGACACCUGCAGCCCUGCUCCACCACUCGUGAAGCUUCCUCUUACAGGCAGGCUCACCUGUACCCAGCCAGGAUGUUCAUGAGGGUGGACUUGCCGGCCCCCGAGGGGCCCAUGAUGGCCACCAGCUCCCCGCUGCCAAACUUGCCGGAGAUGCCCUUG